rnacentral:lncRNA from 1 species
AAAUAAUGCUGUUUUGAUAUUGUAUAAAUAGAUAUAUAUUUUCUAAACUGUUCUAAGAACCCUGUGUCAUUAAAACUUGAUUAGCCAGCUCUUCUCUUUUAUUUGCUCUGUGGACAUUUUGUCCAUGCUGUGUGUAAAGAUGUCCAGCAGUCUCCAGAUGCAGUCUUCUGUCAUCCUGAUGGUAUUGUUCAGUUAACAUGCAGCCAUCAAAUCAAGAGCUAUGACACGAUAUUAUGGUAUCAGCGCUCGACUGGGGACACGGAACUGAAACUUCUAGCUUAUAUGUACUAUACAACUCCAAAGACUGAAGAUCCGUAUGUAAAUCACUUUAAUGUAUCAGGUGAUGGUGAAAAAGAUUCUUCUCUUCAUAUAAAAUGUAGCAGACAAGUCGACAUCACAGCUAUGUAUUACUGCGCUGCCAGUAUCACACAGUGCUGCAAGAGUUCAGCACUCUUUACAAUUACCUUCCUCUUAUUAGAAACCCCGUAAACACCUGCACAGACCAGCACUGGCUCACAUUCAUUUGCUGAUCACUGACAGUUCCUGGUGCCAAAGCAAGUGCUUCUUUGUAGAGAGCUAGAGACACCACCCUUCAAUAGACUUUAUUUGUAGGAGGUGCAGCAUUCCCCAUAAGUCAUUUGCAUCUCGUAGUGUGGUAUGAAUCUGAUUUCCCUCCAUACCUGGCCUUUGACAUACACCCACACAGAACAUCAACAUGAGAGGAUCUCUUGUUUCUUCAACCACCGUGAUCUGUUUCAUAGGUGUUGUGUUUUCUAAUAAGGUUGAUCAAAAUCCUUCUGCAAUUUUUUGGAGUCCUGAAAGUCCGUCUGAAAUCGCCUGUCACCAUCAAAUACCUACUCAUGACACUUUACUGUGGUACCAGCGCUCCCUGAAAGACACUGAGCUGAAACUCAUUGGUUAUGUGUAUUAUGAACAAAUAACUAUUGAGAAACCAUUUGAGAAGCAUUUCAAUGUGAGCGGUCAUGGUAAAACAAACUCUAAACUUCAUCUUAUCCAGCUGAGAAAAUCUGAAGACAGCGCUGUGUACUACUGUGCUGCUUAUUACCACAGUGCUGUUUCCUCCCUUUCCAUUAAACAAAAACCCACCUUUAAUACUCACAUUGCUUUGCACAGAUGUCACAUGAUUUGGUACAUGAUACAUAUUUUAUUUUCUUCCUUUUUGAUAACAAUGUUCCCCCACAGAAUCAACAUAACAAGGUCUUUGAAAAUCAACAUAUACAUUAUUUCAUUAUUUAAUGAUUGGGCAAACACAAUAGCAAUAACAAUAGCCAAGCAACCAGUCAACAGAACAAAAC